rnacentral:rRNA from 1 species
UACGUAGGGUGCAAGCGUUGUCCGGAAUUAUUGGGCGUAAAGAGCUCGUAGGCGGUUUGUCGCGUCUGCUGUGAAAACCCGAGGCUCAACCCCGGAACUGCAUUGGAUACUGCCUUGCUUGAGUACUGGAGAGGGAACUGGAAUUUACGGUGUAGCAGUGAAAUGCGUAGAGAUCGUAAGGAAGGCCAGUGGCGAAGGCGAGUUCCUGGACAGUGACUGACGCUGAGGCACGAAGGCCAGGGGAGCAAACGGG